rnacentral:tRNA from 1 species
GCCGUUGUAGCUCAGCUGGUAGAGCAACUGAUUCGUAAUCAGUAGGUCGGAGGUUCGAGUCCUCUCAACGGCA